CUGUAUCAGAAAGAAUGCAUUGGAUGGAUGCCCAGGCAUUGAGAGGAAAGGAUGCUUCCAAAGGCGAAAGUCCAUGGGGAGAUACCGUCUGUGAUCCAUGGAUCUCUGAUUGAGAAACCGUAUCCAAGCCCCAUGGCUAGUCCACACUCCUUGGACUUGAAAGACUUAGCGAACUGAAACAUAUAAGUAGCUAGAGGAAGGGGAAUCAACUGAUACCCCGUUAGUAGCAGCGAGCGAAAGAGGUUUGGGAAAAUACUAAGCAGUGGAGGUUUUCGUUUCGAUCUUGGUCUCAUUUUCCUAACCUUGCCUUCUCUACAUGAUUCAUUUCAGUUCAUUGGAUGAUGGAAGAACCAGGCAUGUCGAUGCUUUGCCCUUUGAUUUAGACUAUAAGGUAGGCAGAAUUGUGAAUGAAAAGGUUGGAAG
rnacentral:ncRNA from 1 species